rnacentral:lncRNA from 1 species
CUGGUCCGUACCUUCGUAGGUGAUCUCCAAUUUAUCCCACAUUUGCUUAGCCGUGGUGCAACAUGAGAUUUUUCGAUAAUCAUCGGGAUUUACAGCACAAAAUAGCAUGUUGAUGGCUUUGCAUUAUUUUCCACCUUUCUGAUAUCGUCCAUAUCGUAUUCGUCUUUCGACUUUGGGACGAGUUCAUCUCCAACCUUUUUAGUUGGAAGUUGUUCCCCAUUCUUUAUGAUUUUCCACAAUUGGAAGUUGCUUGAUUGAAUGAAAAU